rnacentral:rRNA from 1 species
GACGAACGCUGGCGGCGUGCCUAACACAUGCAAGUCAAGGAGAAUUCCCGACUUGUCGGGAUAGUAAACUGGCGAACGGGUGAGUAACACGUAGGUAAUCUACCCUCGGGAUCGGGAUAACCUCGCGAAAGUGGGGAUAAUACCGAAUAAAGUCUCGGUAUAAUUUGUCGAGAUGAAAGAUGGGGGAUCUUCGGACCUAUUACCUGAGGAUGAGCCUGCGCCUGAUUAGCUAGUUGGUAGGGUAAAUGCCUACCAAGGCAACGAUCAGUAGCUGGUCUGAGAGGAUGAUCAGCCACAUUGGGACUGAGAUACGGCCCAGACUCCUACGGGAGGCAGCAGUGAGGAAUUUUGCGCAAUGGGCGAAAGCCUGACGCAGCAACGCCGCGUGACUGAUUAAGCUCUGAGGAGUGUAAAAGUCUGUCGUAGAGGAAGAAACUAUCCGAUAAGAAUAUUGUCGGAUACUGACGGUACUCUAUGAGAAAGCUCCGGCUAA